UACGGAGGGUGCAAGCGUUAUCCGGAUUCACUGGGUUUAAAGGGUGCGUAGGCGGGUUGGUAAGUCCGUGGUGAAAUCUCCAAGCUUAACUUGGAAACUGCCGUGGAUACUGUCAAUCUUGAAUAUCGUGGAGGUAAGCGGAAUAUGUCAUGUAGCGGUGAAAUGCUUAGAUAUGACAUAGAACACCAAUUGCGUAGGCAGCUUACUACACGAUCAUUGACGCUGAGGCACGAAAGCGUGGGGAGCAAACAGG
rnacentral:rRNA from 1 species